GCGAACGCUGGCGGCAGGCUUAGCACAUGCAAGUCGAACGGGCACCUUCGGGUGUCAGUGGCAGACGGGUGAGUAACACGUGAGAACGUACCCUUUGGUUCGGAACAACUCAGGGAAACUUGAGCUAAUACCGGAUACGCCCUUUGGGGGAAAGGUUUACUGCCGAAGGAUCGGCCCGCGUCUGAUUAGCUAGUUGGUGAGGUAAUGGCUCACCAAGGCGACGAUCAGUAGCUGGUCUGAGAGGAUGAUCAGCCACACUGGGACUGAGACACGGCCCAGACUCCUACGGGAGGCAGCAGUGGGGAAUAUUGGACAAUGGGCGAAAGCCUGAUCCAGCCAUGCCGCGUGAGUGAUGAAGGCCUUAGGGUUGUAAAGCUCUUUCGACGGGGACGAUAAUGACGGUACCCGUAGAAGAAGCACCGGCUAACUACGU
rnacentral:rRNA from 1 species